rnacentral:rRNA from 1 species
AUUGAACGCUGGCGGCAUGCUUUACACAUGCAAGUCGAACGGCAGCGCGGGCUUCGGCCUGGCGGCGAGUGGCGAACGGGUGAGUAAUGCAUCGGAACGUGCCCAGUAGUGGGGGAUAGCCCGGCGAAAGCCGGAUUAAUACCGCAUACGACCUGAGGGUGAAAGCGGGGGACCGAAAGGUCUCGCGCUAUUGGAGCGUCCGAUGUCGGAUUAGCUAGUUGGUGGGGUAAAGGCUUACCAAGGCGACGAUCCGUAGCUGGUCUGAGAGGACGACCAGCCACACUGGGAAUGAGACAAGGACCAGCCUACUAAGGGAGGCAGCAGUAGGGAAUUUUGGACCAUGGGGGCAAGCCUGAUCCAGCCAUGCCGCGUGCGGGAAGAAGGCCUUCGGGUUGUAAACCGCUUUUGUUCGGGAAGAAAUCCUCUGGGCUAAUACACCGGGGGGAUGACGGUACCGGAAGAAUAAGCACCGGCUAACUACGUG